rnacentral:rRNA from 1 species
UACACUCCUGCGGGAGGCAGCAGUGGGGAAUAUUGCACAAUGGGCGCAAGCCUGAUGCAGCCAUGCCGCGUGUAUGAAGAAGGCCUUCGGGUUGUAAAGUACUUUCAGCGGGGAGGAAGGCAAUACGGUUAAUAACCGUGUUGAUUGACGUUACCCGCAGAAGAAGCACCGGCUAACUCCGUGCCAGCAGCCGCGGUAAUACGGAGGGUGCAAGCGUUAAUCGGAAUUACUGGGCGUAAAGCGCACGCAGGCGGUCUGUCAAGUCGGAUGUGAAAUCCCCGGGCUCAACCUGGGAACUGCAUUCGAAACUGGCAGGCUUGAGUCUUGUAGAGGGGGGUAGAAUUCCAGGUGUAGCGGUGAAAUGCGUAGAGAUCUGGAGGAAUACCGGUGGCGAAGGCGGCCCCCUGGACAAAGACUGACGCUCAGGUGCGAAAGCGUGGGGAGCAAACAGGAUUAGAAACCCCAGUAGUCCC